AUUUGGAUGUUCUUUAGGACAAAAAAAAAUUAAAGCACUUGAACCAAUAAACUACAGCAGAUUUAGCAAUGAGGGGUUAAGACGUCAUUCUGUGCAGCUGUCUGCCUGUCCCGUCAGCUGUGGUUCCAGCAGGAGAACAAAGCUGGCAGCAUCAGACGUGUCUCCAGGCAAAGCACCCGCUCUCUCUGGCCUCCGUGGCCGAUGGAUCCUGUGGAUGUGCCAGACUGACUGACAGUGGCUGAGACACGCAUGUGUGAGAUGCAAUGGGGGCAGAAACUCCUGGCAGAGGAGCUGAAGAUGCAAACCUCAUGAUCACUCAUGGACUGGACUUCUGUAUUUCUCCUCCUUUCCCAUUCCUAUGGUCUUACAGUCAGCUACAGGCUGGAGGCCACAUGCACAUUCUCUAUGGACAAGACAAUGGUUGACUGUGUUUCUGUGCUGUCUUGGAAAACCACAGAGCCUUUGGUGAAGAAUGGGAAACAGUAGCUGCUUGGUGUAUUCUUCAAGUGGUGAACACCUGCUGAUGGAGAGGUUCUCAAAUGCAUGCUGCACACAAAGCUCAGAACAAAACCAAGCAGGAUUCUGGAGGAAAGACUGAAAUUAAGAACAGUACCUGUUGAGGAAGCACUGCCUCUUUCUUGGCCCAGGGAGAGGACUCACCAGAACAACAUGUGGUUGGGAAUUAAAUCCAGAUUUCCUGGGCCUAGUCUGGUGACCAGUCCAUAAACUGCAAGUAGUUGCCUGGUCAAUUAGUUAAAGACUUGGGAUUAAUCUCCAUUAGAAUAAUCUCCAGAAUUGUCACUCUAUGAUCAAGCUUCAGGGUUCUGUCCAUACUAAUGCUUAUUCUUUUAUUUCGUUGUGAUUAGAAUCAAGUAAGUGUGAAAUUAAGUGUAUUCCUGUUCAUAAGUAAUUAAGAUUUGUAUCUCUAAUACCUGACAAGCUGGAAUCAUGCUGAGAUCAAAAAAUUGAGGGAAACCCAGAAACCUAAUGACUCAAAUUCUAUUGGUUGGAUAGAGAGAUCAUAUGAACAUGAAAGCCUGUGAUUAAAUCUAUCCUUGUGUCUCUGUUUAAUCUUCUGCCAUGGCUGUCCUUGCUGCACUGCUCUCCAGAUUUUCAAUCCUUGUCUUGUUAAGUGUUUGUUCUGAUCUUUCUUCUCGGUUCCUGCUCUUAGGCUUUUUUAAUUCUUUCCACCCUCUGGAGUCAGUAGCUCUCAUGCUACAAGGAUAUUGACAAGUAAAAAUUACUGUUCUGAACAACAGAUGUUGGAUGAAAUUAUGGCCCCUGCCCUCAAGUUCAUUAGGAAAUGCAUAAUGUUUACCACUGUGCUAUGGUUUAAGGUCAUAGUGCAGGGAUGUAGAGCAUAAGGACUUAGAUGCCUGGAAUCUUUCACAUGUCGCAUAUGAACUUCCGAAGUGCACAGGCUGAGGUUUGAGUGCCUGAGCCAUUCUGUUGUUGAAAAUAACUUUCAUUCCCAAAUGCAGAGAAAGUGACACUAGUGAAAAAAUAAACUAGCUUGAUACACAUUUAGUGCAGGUAUAUUUUGUGUUGCUCAGGAAUCAAAAAAAAUCUAACCAUUCUAAAGAAAAUGAACUUGAAAUUUGAAUGUAAAUUCACAUUUACUGUAUAUGUGUUCUUUCAAAUUUUGUUUCUGAUCAUAAGUUGGACUAGUUUUUGACAGUCUGCAUAGCUUCCUCUUGAUAUUAAUGCAAAGAGAGAUCAGUGCAGCAUAUUGCAGAAACCAUUUGCUACUAAUCCUGCACAAAAGAGGCUGUGUGAACUGUUAUUAGCUACAUAUAACUUCAAUAUUCUUUUCAACAGCAUGACAUAUUCUUUCUAAAUGAGGAAGACAAAACUUAAAGGUCUUGGUGACACUGCAUCUCUGUUACCAAUAAGUACAUCCUUAAGCCGUAGAAUUUUGUGACAGUGUCAUCAACAUCGCAUACAAUGUCUGCAUCUUUUUUGUAUUGCUCUUAUUUUGAAAAAAAUCCCUGGUAGAAGUUCUUUUCAAUAUUACUUCACAUAAAUAGAACGAUCCUUCAUUGCCUUUAUAGGAUGAUUUCUUAGGGAAGGAAUUGUGUUUUGUUCCCACCCCCCCAUCUAUACCUCUGCUCUGCUUUCCAGUCACUCUGAAUUUUAGUUGCUUUUUAAUUAAAGCUUUGGUCAAAGGGUCAGGAUGCCUUGAACUUAGGCUGAAGGAUAAUGUAGGAUAGGAAUUGGAUAUUUAUAUAAAUCUGCUUUCAUUUAGUAUGUUUCUGAUAGGAAACAGUACUUUCAAUUCAGAGCCCAGAACGACUGCAUCAACUUGAAGAAUGAGUUUAUGUAUUUAAAUAACGUACUUUAAACAAAAUGCCCGAACUUUUGCUUUAAGUGAAACAAAGUCAUCCCACUUAAAGCAGUGCUUUUGAAUAUUGAGUCAACCACAGAAUUUUCCAUAGCUCUUCCACAAGGGUAAAUAUUAAUGAUGAUUUAUGAAUUGUUGCUUGUUUGACUCAUACACCAGAGUUUCAAAAGAUUUAAUACAGUCUUGCUAUGAAGUGUUUGCUGUCUGACUCUGCAGUCGCUGAAUAGUUACUGUUCUUAAGUGAUGUAGAAGUAAUAGUUUGAACAACUGCACUAAGCCAUAGUAAGAAGUUGAAAUAUCAGCUCUUGUGAAUGGCAAUUAAAUGUUUCUAAGCACUCAGAUUGGAGUGCUGAAAUUUUAUUACUUGUAGCUGCUCAGGCUUUUGUCCAGUUGUUAUCACGGGGUUACAGUUUUCUCUUAACUAGAUCAAGAGAUAUUAAGGUUAAUUUAGUCUGUGUAUGUCUGCCUCACUUCAGGGCUGAGGUUUUUCUACUCUUCUACAUCUUGCUGAAAUAAUAAUAAUAAUAAAAAGUAUGUGGACUUCAA